GACUGUAGCUCAGCGGUAGAGAACAUGCUUUGCAUGCAAAGGGGCCCAGGUUCAAUCCUUCGCUUCACCA